ACAGAAACACACACGGGCUCUCAUCUCUCUCCCUCGCCUCCUGUCCCAGCCGCCAGGAGGCGCCCCACCCCGUCCGACCUCGAUCCGGUGCCGCGCAGAUCUGGCUGCGGGUGCAGCAACUUGCUCCGGUGGCGACGGGAGAAAGAGAGAUAGGGCGUGAGGGAGAGAAGAGAGGAAUAAAGGAGAAGGAGAAGGGGCACAAGGUGGGGGAGGCGGUCGCCGGCGGUGGUGGUUCCGGUGACCGGCCGGCGGGCAGGGAGACGAGCUCCAGUUGAGGCGGCGGAGCUCGGUGCGAGAUGGUUCCUCCGGAUCGAGCCUUGGCUCUCCCGAGGCAUGCGGUUGCGGGCUUGGAUCGGGGUGAUCCUUCUCCCCCGCCCUCCCCCUCCAUGGCCAACGGCACAAGAGAAGAGAUGGCUAUUGAUGAGGUCGAGCUUGAGCCUCUAGAAUUUGCUGAGAAAAUGCACACUCAACAGGAAAUUACAACAACAGUUGCGCAGGAAGUUGGAGAGUGCUGAUUUCGAUACGAGUGUGUCAAUCUUCAGUCCGGAGCAGAUCCAAGGGAUUGUUGAGAAAUACUCCAGUUGACAUAUUUGAAGAUAUGAGAGAUUUACAUCGCAUCCAGUCUUCUCCUUCUACUAUAGCCGAUGGUUGUAUUCCACCCAUACACGAAGCAUAUAAUUGCCAUCUAGCUUUACUUCAUGUAAUAUGCACUUUCCUCAGUGAAAGACUACAAGUGUACUAAUUACAUUGGCAGUGGCACCUAUUGGAACCGUCCAACUGGCUCUCGGGGCGAACAUCGCCGCCACCCCACUGUCGAUUACCACCCAAGCUGUUGGCCUCCUUGCAGUGGUGGUCUUCACCCUCUUUCAUCACCAUGAAGCAGAUCAUCGUUGUGACGUUGUCCAGCACUGGCGAGAAGGGUGGCCCGCGUCGAGACGGCCAAGGUUGGGUGGUCUGCAGGUCAGGCUCGUUGGAAUGGUGACUGGUAAGAUGGAGAGGAAUACAGACAUGUCCUUCACCCUCGACAAUGACACUGGCUGCAUCAAUUUUUCAUCAGAUGGUGAGAGCGUCUCGUUGAAUUGCACACUUUCUAGUGAAGUUUCAGAUGUAUCUUAGGGGUACAAUGUUAUAUUUUUGUGCUCCCAGUGCCACUUCUGGAUGUUGACUUGGUUGUGGGAUUUGUCAAAUGCCAAUCUUAAAUAGAAAUAAGUUAGGCUGGUUGUUACGACAAUGCAGGCACCAAGCAAAACUUAGUAACUGGAAAUCUGCAAGUUCUUAAUCAUCUCUGGUUUGAUAAAAUAACUAUUUGAGAGAGAGAGAUAUUACUGUAAAGUUCUUAAACUUUGCGGCAGAUGGAUUUUGCGGCUUUGGAUUUUCCUCUCUCUUGAUUUUUCAAAUUGAUGUGGCUGUAGAAACUUGAGGCUGAAUUUAUUAAUUGGUGUGCAUGCGACCUGGAUUGUGCAAUUAUUUUACGAAUUCGUUGAAAGCUCCGUUGGUAGGUUUGUUUACUUGUUUUUACUGCUUGUGUUGUUACAUCUCAGAAGAAGUUCAGAAGAACUUCAGUGUGACAUAUUUUCCAUCAUGCACAAAUGUGUGAUAGAUUUAGGACAUCCAAUGUAGAGAAACAUUAAGCGGUAAGGUCAACUCAUACAAAUUGCAGGUAUAAUGGACUAGACUGAUUACUGUUAUUUUAGCCAGCGUCAACAAAGAGAAGAGAGGCCGUGUGAUGCUUACAUUGUGGAGAUCCUUCUAUCUAUGAAAUGACAUCAUCCAUGGGCGAUGCUAAACGUUUUAUUCAAAGCUGGGUUGAGUUCUUGGUUAAUUAUGUGAAGAUGAUUAAUGGAGACUACAAAAGGAUUAUCUCAAGAAAUCGUUGCAGGCAUAUUUCUGCAAUCUGUAAUUCCUUUGAUAAACAUAGCAAUUGUGUAGCUCAUGAUCUUGCUUCCCUCGCUAGAGUGUCAGAUAUUUCUGAAACCUGGAUGGGCAGUAUGGUGUGUAUGCAAAUGACUUGGUUAA